GGGUUGUGAGGUUAAGCGACUAAGCGUACACGGUGGAUGCCCUGGCAGUCAGAGGCGAUGAAGGACGUGCUAAUCUGCGAUAAGCGUCGGUAAGGUGAUAUGAACCGUUAUAACCGGCGAUUUCCGAAUGGGGAAACCCAGUGUGAUUCGUCACACUAUCAUUAACUGAAUCCAUAGGUUAAUGAGGCGAACCGGGGGAACUGAAACAUCUAAGUACCCCGAGGAAAAGAAAUCAACCGAGAUUCCCCCAGUAGCGGCGAGCGAACGGGGAGGAGCCCAGAGCCUGAAUCAGUGUGUGUGUUAGUGGAAGCGUCUGGAAAGGCGCGCGAUACAGGGUGACAGCCCCGUACACAAAAAUACACAUAUUGUGAGCUCGAUGAGUAGGGCGGGACACGUGGUAUCCUGUCUGAAUAUGGGGGGACCAUCCUCCAAGGCUAAAUACUCCUGACUGACCGAUAGUGAACCAGUACCGUGAGGGAAAGGCGAAAAGAACCCCGGCGAGGGGAGUGAAAAAGAACCUGAAACCGUGUACGUACAAGCAGUGGGAGCACGCUUAGGCGUGUGACUGCGUACCUUUUGUAUAAUGGGUCAGCGACUUAUAUUCUGUAGCAAGGUUAACCGAAUAGGGGAGCCGAAGGGAAACCGAGUCUUAACUGGGCGUUAAGUUGCAGGGUAUAGACCCGAAACCCGGUGAUCUAGCCAUGGGCAGGUUGAAGGUUGGGUAACACUAACUGGAGGACCGAACCGACUAAUGUUGAAAAAUUAGCGGAUGACUUGUGGCUGGGGGUGAAAGGCCAAUCAAACCGGGAGAUAGCUGGUUCUCCCCGAAAGCUAUUUAGGUAGCGCCUCGUGAAUUCAUCUCCGGGGGUAGAGCACUGUUUCGGCAAGGGGGUCAUCCCGACUUACCAACCCGAUGCAAACUGCGAAUACCGGAGAAUGUUAUCACGGGAGACACACGGCGGGUGCUAACGUCCGUCGUGAAGAGGGAAACAACCCAGACCGCCAGCUAAGGUCCCAAAGUCAUGGUUAAGUGGGAAACGAUGUGGGAAGGCCCAGACAGCCAGGAUGUUGGCUUAGAAGCAGCCAUCAUUUAAAGAAAGCGUAAUAGCUCACUGGUCGAGUCGGCCUGCGCGGAAGAUGUAACGGGGCUAAACCAUGCACCGAAGCUGCGGCAGCGACGCUUAUGCGUUGUUGGGUAGGGGAGCGUUCUGUAAGCCUGUGAAGGUGUGCUGUGAGGCAUGCUGGAGGUAUCAGAAGUGCGAAUGCUGACAUAAGUAACGAUAAAGCGGGUGAAAAGCCCGCUCGCCGGAAGACCAAGGGUUCCUGUCCAACGUUAAUCGGGGCAGGGUGAGUCGACCCCUAAGGCGAGGCCGAAAGGCGUAGUCGAUGGGAAACAGGUUAAUAUUCCUGUACUUGGUGUUACUGCGAAGGGGGGACGGAGAAGGCUAUGUUGGCCGGGCGACGGUUGUCCCGGUUUAAGCGUGUAGGCUGGUUUUCCAGGCAAAUCCGGAAAAUCAAGGCUGAGGCGUGAUGACGAGGCACUACGGUGCUGAAGCAACAAAUGCCCUGCUUCCAGGAAAAGCCUCUAAGCAUCAGGUAACAUCAAAUCGUACCCCAAACCGACACAGGUGGUCAGGUAGAGAAUACCAAGGCGCUUGAGAGAACUCGGGUGAAGGAACUAGGCAAAAUGGUGCCGUAACUUCGGGAGAAGGCACGCUGAUAUGUAGGUGAAGUCCCUCGCGGAUGGAGCUGAAAUCAGUCGAAGAUACCAGCUGGCUGCAACUGUUUAUUAAAAACACAGCACUGUGCAAACACGAAAGUGGACGUAUACGGUGUGACGCCUGCCCGGUGCCGGAAGGUUAAUUGAUGGGGUCAGCGCAAGCGAAGCUCUUGAUCGAAGCCCCGGUAAACGGCGGCCGUAACUAUAACGGUCCUAAGGUAGCGAAAUUCCUUGUCGGGUAAGUUCCGACCUGCACGAAUGGCGUAAUGAUGGCCAGGCUGUCUCCACCCGAGACUCAGUGAAAUUGAACUCGCUGUGAAGAUGCAGUGUACCCGCGGCAAGACGGAAAGACCCCGUGAACCUUUACUAUAGCUUGACACUGAACAUUGAGCCUUGAUGUGUAGGAUAGGUGGGAGGCUUGGAAGUGUGGACGCCAGUCUGCAUGGAGCCGACCUUGAAAUACCACCCUUUAAUGUUUGAUGUUCUAACGUUGACCCGUAAUCCGGGUUGCGGACAGUGUCUGGUGGGUAGUUUGACUGGGGCGGUCUCCUCCUAAAGAGUAACGGAGGAGCACGAAGGUUGGCUAAUCCUGGUCGGACAUCAGGAGGUUAGUGCAAUGGCAUAAGCCAGCUUGACUGCGAGCGUGACGGCGCGAGCAGGUGCGAAAGCAGGUCAUAGUGAUCCGGUGGUUCUGAAUGGAAGGGCCAUCGCUCAACGGAUAAAAGGUACUCCGGGGAUAACAGGCUGAUACCGCCCAAGAGUUCAUAUCGACGGCGGUGUUUGGCACCUCGAUGUCGGCUCAUCACAUCCUGGGGCUGAAGUAGGUCCCAAGGGUAUGGCUGUUCGCCAUUUAAAGUGGUACGCGAGCUGGGUUUAGAACGUCGUGAGACAGUUCGGUCCCUAUCUGCCGUGGGCGCUGGAGAACUGAGGGGGGCUGCUCCUAGUACGAGAGGACCGGAGUGGACGCAUCACUGGUGUUCGGGUUGUCAUGCCAAUGGCACUGCCCGGUAGCUAAAUGCGGAAGAGAUAAGUGCUGAAAGCAUCUAAGCACGAAACUUGCCCCGAGAUGAGUUCUCCCUGACCCUUUAAGGGUCCUGAAGGAACGUUGAAGACGACGACGUUGAUAGGCCGGGUGUGUAAGCGCAGCGAUGCGUUGAGCUAACCGGUACUAAUGAACCGUGAGGCUUAACCUUACAACGCCGAAGCUGUU
rnacentral:rRNA from 1 species